AGUGAACGCUGGCGGUAGGCCUAAUGCAUGCAAGUCGAACGGCAGCACAGUAAGAGCUUGCUCUUACGGGUGGCGAGUGGCGGACGGGUGAGGAAUACAUCGGAAUCUACUUUUUCGUGGGGGAUAACGUAGGGAAACUUACGCUAAUACCGCAUACGACCUACGGGUGAAAGCAGGGGAUCUUCGGACCUUGCGCGAUUGAAUGAGCCGAUGUCGGAUUAGCUAGUUGGCGGGGUAAAGGCCCACCAAGGCGACGAUCCGUAGCUGGUCUGAGAGGAUGAUCAGCCACACUGGAACUGAGACACGGUCCAGACUCCUACGGGAGGCAGCAGUGGGGAAUAUUGGACAAUGGGCGCAAGCCUGAUCCAGCCAUACCGCGUGGGUGAAGAAGGCCUUCGGGUUGUAAAGCCCUUUUGUUGGGAAAGAAAAGCAGCAGGUUAAUACCCCGCUGUUCUGACGGUACCCAAAGAAUAAGCACCGGCUAACUUCGUG
rnacentral:rRNA from 1 species